UACGUAGGGGGCAAGCGUUGUCCGGAUUUAUUGGGCGUAAAGAGCUCGUAGGCGGCUUGGCAAGUCGGGUGUGAAACCUCCAGGCUCAACCUGGAGACGCCACUCGAGACUGCUAUGGCUAGAGUCCGGUAGGGGACCACGGAAUUCCUGGUGUAGCGGUGAAAUGCGCAGAUAUCAGGAGGAACACCGGUGGCGAAGGCGGUGGUCUGGGCCGGCACUGACGCUGAGGAGCGAAAGCGUGGGUAGCAAACAGG
rnacentral:rRNA from 1 species